CUCAUUUCCAAGACGGUCCGGCCGGCAGCCGGCUCAGGAAACAUGCCUCAAGUCUCAGGCAAAACUCAGUGUUGUAGAUGAAGGGUGACUCAUCAGCUUGGAUCUUGGAAUAAAGUUGAUGUGGAAUGGAGCUUAUCUGGCAUCAUAAUAGAACAUUGAGAUGCACUGCUCUUUACAUACAUAACUUUGGAAACAACAGGGAGGAUAGAAGAAGGAAGAGUUUGGAAGUCUUAGAAGACCUGGAGGAGGAUAAGAGCCUAGACUCAGCAGAUCAGAAUGGAAGAGAACAAAUGUCUUCUCAAAGAAAUGAUGAAAGUAGAGUUGGUUGUACCAGUGAUAAACUGAGUGUGAGAGAUAAAGAAGAGGAGGAGCCAAAAUGGAUACCAAGAUUUUUCUUUAGUAAAAUAAACUAACCUGCUGUUGGAUGAGCCAUGCAUAUGAAUAACACGGCAAAGCCACAAGAAUCUUCUGAAUGUGAUUGAUUCCAGCCCUCCCAUCACAGAGUAAUAUUCUUCUGUCCUCCUUCCAUGCCCUACUGUUUAGGCUCACACUGGAAUUGUGAAAGGCAAGAAUUCCUGCAGAAUGUGUCUGGUUAAGUAUGAUUUUAAUUUCACAAAGUUGUCUGUUCUUUCUAUAUAUCCAUUUUGACUGAUAUCUCAGUGAUUUAGAAACAUAAUUUUGGGGGCUGGGGAUUUAGCUCAGUGGCACAGCACCUGCCUGGCAAGCACAAGGUCAUGAG